rnacentral:lncRNA from 1 species
UAUAUAUGUAUGAUAUAUUUUUCAAUAUUCACUUAUUUUUCUAUUGUUUAUUUUCCGAGAAAAAUUUGUAGUCUGUCUUACCUACCACGACCGGUCAUUUGACCGGUAGUACGAUUUAUACAUUUAUGUAAGAGUUUCUCUCUAAGACUCAAUGCCAAAACUAUAAAGUCGUUACAAACGAAAGUUCUCACUCGACUAUCGGGCUAGCGGUGUUUAUUUGCUUGAUUGAUAUCCGAUACGGUCAAGAUCCUCGAAUGUUCUACGCCAUCUCAUCUACUAUGACGUAAAAUAAAUAAACUUGUAACUGAAGGAAGUGUAUAGACGUCUUCUCACGAAUUCAAAUCAGUAUAGUCUUGCGACACGAACAGAGUGCAUCGAACGUGAAAGUCACAAAGAGCAUACUUGGCAGUCUUUUAUUAUUAUUUUGUAAUAUUUUAUAUCGUAUUACGUGUUAUAAGUGCCAUUUUCAAAAUAGUGAACAAGACUAACAAUACUUCGCAAAUAUUUGUCCCCAAAAUGGCAAGACGUUUGAGGAGUGCGAAUGUAUUAGAGAGAAUAAAUGAUAUCGAUGCAGAAUGUUCUGAAGAUGAUCAGGAAAUUCUGGAUAUGGAAAA